GGAACCCUUUUCGCAAAUAUGUGUUGUAGGUUGGUAUUUGUGAAAAGAUUUGUGCAAAAGAUUGGAGGGAUGAGAAGAGAAUAGAUUAUAUUUACAAGUUUUGUUGUUUGGAUAGAUGAACCCAUUACCUACGUACCAUCACAAAGGAGGAUCAAAACCUCGUAGUUUAUGGUAAAAAAUCUCAAAGAUUGGUGAAUUGAUUUUAAUCAAAAGCCUUAAGGUCUUUUGUUAUCAAAGGGAGAAAACUCAACCUAAACCCACAAUC
rnacentral:lncRNA from 1 species